ACGAACGCUGGCGGCGUGCCUCAUACCUGCCAGUCGAACGCUUCUUUCCUCCCGAGUGCUUGCACUCAAUUGGAAAGAGGAGUGGCGGACGGGUGAGUAACACGUGGGUAACCUACCCAUCAGAGGGGGAUAACACUUGGAAACAGGUGCUAAUACCGCAUAACAGUUUAUGCCGCAUGGCCUACGAGUGAAAGGCGCUUUCGGGUGUCGCUGUUGGAUGGACCCGCGGUGCAUUAGCUAGUUGGUGGGGUAACGGCUCACCAAGGCCACGAUGCAUAGCCGACCUGAGAGGAUGAUCGGCCACACUGGAACUGAGACACGGCCCAGACUCCUACGGGAGGCAGCAGUAGGGAAUCUUCGGCAAUGGACGAAAGUCUGACCGAGCAACGCCGCGUGAGUGAAGAAGGUUUUCGGAUCGUAAAACUCUGUUGUUAGGGAAGAACAAGGACGUUAGUAACUGAACGUGCCCUGACGGUAUCUAACCAGAAAGCCACGGCUAACUACGUG
rnacentral:rRNA from 1 species